GAUGAACGCUGGCGGCGUGCCUAAUACAUGCAAGUCGAGCGGACCGACCAGGAGCUUGCUCUUUUUCGGUUAGCGGCGGACGGGUGAGUAACACGUGGGUAACCUGCCCGUAAGACCGGGAUAACUCCGGGAAACCGGAGCUAAUACCGGAUAACACCGAAGACCGCAUGGUCUGUUGUUGAAAGGCGGCUUCGGCUGCCACUUACGGAUGGGCCCGCGGCGCAUUAGCUAGUUGGUGAGGUAAAGGCUACCCAAGGCGAAGAUGCGUAACCGGCCGGAGAGGGUGGCCGGCCACACUGGGAAUGAGACACGGCCCAGACACCUACGGGAGGCAGCAGUAGGGAAUCUUCCGCAAGGGACGAAAGUCUGACGGAGAGACGCCGCGUGAGCGAAGAAGGUCUUCGGAUCGUAAAGCUCUGUUGUUAGGGAAGAAGAAGCGUCGUUCGAACAGGGCGGCGCGGUGACGGUACCUAACGAGAAAGCCCCGGCUAACUACGUG
rnacentral:rRNA from 1 species